GACGAAGGUGGCUAGCGUUGCUCGGAUUUCCUGGGCAUAAAGCGCGCGUAGGUGGUCGUGUAAGCGGGGGAUGAAAGCCCAUGGCUCACCCAUGGAACUGUCCCCCGGACUGCACGGCUCGAGGAAGGAAGGGGAGAAUGGAAUUCCCGGUGUAGCGGUGAAAUGCGUAGAUAUCGGGAGGAACGCCGGUGGCGAAAGCGAUUCUCUGGUCCUUUCCUGACACUGAGGCGCGAAAGCUAGGGGAGCAAACAGG
rnacentral:rRNA from 1 species